GCGCGGCCCCGGUGGGGCCUGAGGGGACCGGGGGAGUGUUUUCCUGCCGCGUCCUCUGGCGGGCUGCGGGAACGAGCGGCGCUCCCGGGACGGGCCCUCUCCCCUUUCCGCCCCUUCCCUCCGCGGGCCUCAAGCGAGGUGACCCGCGGCCGGCAGCGCUCCCUGCUCGGCCCCGGCGUGCGCGGGGGUUUUGCGGUGCGCGGAGCGGCGGGGGGUUGGGCUGCCCGCAGCCGCUCCCCGUGCGUGAAUAGUUGUCGGUAACAUCAACCUGACGUCAUCCCCGGGUAAAAAGAUCCCUCUUUUGUUCUCCUUCCCUCCCACCGCUCCCCCUUCGAAAAUGAAAAGCGUGAACAUUUGCGAAAAAUAAAAACUAACGAGGAUUGCUCUCCCCCACGUUAAUGGCCGCGCACGGGGGGAUGUAGCGCGGAGGAUCCUGCCCGGGCUGCGCCGCGCCGCGCCGCGCCGUAAUGAAGGCGCGGGCCCUUUGAUCCGGGCUUCUGCAGGCUGCCUCUCUUUUCUUAGUUCCCUCUGCUUCCCUUUUCUGCACCCUUAAAUAUGAAUGGUGAACCGAGAAGAGAGGAGGCCAAGAGGAAAAUGUGUCUUACUGAGACUUGCCAGCUAUCCAAGUUGCAUGCAGAGAGACAGUUCCAGCUCAUGCGUCUGGCUCGGACAGCAGCAUCGGCUAUCAAACACCCUGUUGCCUGCCUUGCUCCAGGCUGGAGUAACUGCUAUGGUGAGCUGAGGGAGCUGGUGGGGGCUGCUGCUGCUGCCUGUGUUUGUGGAUGCAUCUUAUGUUACAUGCUCAGAAUGAGGGCACUGGCAGGAGAGGAGAGGUGUCUGCAAUCGCAGACUGUCACUUGUCAGGCAGAGGGGCACAGAGCAGGCUUCUUCCUGCCAGCUUAUCCCAUUGGAGUUUCUGGCCCUAGGUUUCUAUGGGAUUCUGCAACAGUGAAGUUUGGUAAGUUAUUAUUGUUUACUUGUUGCUUCAUUGCAGUUCACACAGCCCAGUAAAAAUUGUAUCCCUCUCUGCUUGGCACCAUGCUAGCUGUGGUACUGUGUGGUUCCUGCCACCUGAGAUACAAUCUAAACAGACGAGUAAGGACAUGAGAUAGAGGCAAACAAAGCAAAAGAAAACAAAAUGCCCCCCCAAACCAAACAACAACAAACAAGACAAACCUGAAACAAACAAAAAACUCCAUGUGAUGAGUUACGGACAGUGUUCCCCGGCAGUUCCAGAAGAGAGUACAGGGUGACAUGCAGUGCAGUUAGACAAAAACAUCUUCUUCCCCUGGGGAAAUUAACAAAAAUUAACGGAAAAAAAUUAAGAGGUGUGUCUGCCACAGUACCUUAACACACUCAGCUUUGCUUUGUGGUUCUCAGCCAUUGUUCUCAGAUCGUGUAUUGCACAGGCUGUAUAACACCCCUGACAAUUCAGGGACACUCAGGUGAGCGCAUUACUCAUAGCAGGGUGCAGGAGGAACUUCACAGUAGCUUUAGCUGUGGGUGCUUGACUUUUACUAUUGGUUUGUGUCCUGAUUUCCAGUAGUCUCUGAGAGCCUGAGGACAUACAUAAGUUCAUUUGUCUGACAGUUUUGAAAAUGCCAGUGUUCUAAAGGUUAAUUAUAUUUUUUUUACAUAUUUGUUUGGUCUGUAAUUUAUUUUGUACAAUAGAACUGUUUUUAUAGCACUCUCCAUACAAACACUACCUCAUUCCACAGACUUUAUUGGCACGAGGUAGCUACCAGCAUGUGCUUCCGUGAGAAAAAAAGAAAAAGAAAGAAAAAACUAGUAAAACCACAAUUACAUUAAUAGCUUUCUAUGAUGUGACACAGUGACAGAGAGUUAUUGUGGUGUUUGGGUGCACUCUGUCCAAAAUACCAAGGCUCCUAGUUUCUCCUGUGCUCUGUCAGGGAAGCCACGGAGAGACAGAACAGCAAUUCCAGAUUCUGUGCUGCAAGUGCUUUCCUUUCCCAGAGGCUGGCUACAUCCGUGCGUGUAGAGCUUUUGAUUAGAUCUGCUGUUUUGCCUAUGGCAAUCCUCACUGCAAACAUCCUUUGUCUAUAUAUCAUUUGAGC
rnacentral:lncRNA from 1 species